rnacentral:lncRNA from 1 species
CGUGUGUGGACUCAGCCAAUGAACCACAUCCCUUGCCUCCAGCCCGCAAGCUCUACAGCCCCACAGCCCAUAUUCCCCGUGCGUUCAUACCUGUGUGCUUUGUCCGCGGUAAUUCAGUUCUUCGGGCUUUUGUCACAAGUACAGUCUGGUAUGUACCAUCGCCCGAGAGAGACCCACAAAAUGCAAGCGGUCCGUGAAGGACUUUCCGCGAGCAUACAAUUAUUGAUUUGCAACGUUGUCAGCGCCGGGACCCGCCCCAUAGCUAAGGAAUGGAGAUUAGGAGGGUCGUAAGACCAUGUUACGACCCCAACGGAACACUCGACCGGCGACGGUUCGUGAGGAAGCCCUCAUGGGCGUAUUGCGCACAAAUUCUUGCCACACGCGGGGCUUGAACACUGAACACAAGAGGGCAAAACCCGCUGGGUAUUGGCAGGUUGUGACAGGCAGCACUGGCCUAUUCCGCCACCUGUCGACCGUUUCUAACCAUGCAGACGUGCGGUAAGCAUCAAGUGUUGUGACCUUGCCUAGGCCCUCGAGGCUUGCGUCGGAUAUAAACAAGGAAUCUCGGAUACAACAAGGGAUAUCCAGGGAAACCAUUAGGGUCCGUAGCGCUGAGCAGCCAUGCCAACGUCCGCCAUGCCCACUCUGCUCCUGUUAGCCGCGUGAUGGGGCCGCGCUCCCUUACACCCCCAGCACAUCAUCGGCCGGUUGCAAAUCAGACGUUUUG